CAUUUUGCCACAAACACUAAAGUCCAAUGGAAUUGCUUAAUGACUGCAAUGAUAAAAGUUCCUUUCCAACCACCAGAGGGAAGAUCACUUCAUUUUUGACACUGCUGGCCACCGAAGGUGUGAAGGUUUCCCCCCACAACAACGAGCAAAUCUCUGACAGCACCUGGGUGUCCUAUAACCUAAUUCUACUGGGAGAUUGCAUCAGAUCUCACAGGCGGUGAGGUGCCUCGCCUUCUGAGUUGUCACUGAUCUCUGACAGCCACUUCCAUUAUGGAGAAAAGCAAGCCUGGAGUCAGAAGUUACCCACUUAAUUAAGAUAUGGAAAACUCUGCGUUAUU